rnacentral:lncRNA from 1 species
CAUAAGGCAGCAGAAUUCACUAGACUUAGGGAGCGGAGGGCAUAAUGAGAGGAUAAGAUCUUGUAAAACUUCUGAUUAAACAAAUGGAAACAGGGAGAAAAGAGAUAACCCUACACUGAAGAACAAGUUUCCCAUGAAGGCAUCAGCCCAAAUCCCGAGGAUGAUCCUUAAUCGAGCACCAGGGGCAGAGCAGGGAGGCCAGGCCCACCUGCCUGCACUUUGCCAUCACCAGGGCCCACAUCUGCAGGUGGUUGGCGAGGGGCUGGGGGAUAAAUGAGGAGCUGGGGACAAGGUUUCCCCUCCAGCAGUGUGAGGAGCAGUCUGCACCAGGCUUGUGGGGUAUUGCCUGCUUUGUGCCUGCCUCGGGAAGCACGCGGAGCUGCUGCUUUGGCCGUGAGGCCCUGCUGUGAAGCCUGCAUGUGUGGCUCGGCUGGUGAAGGUGCUGCUCUUCUCCCUUCUCAUCCUCUGUUGCCUACGGUUUGAUCUUUUUAUCUUCAAUGCUGCGGUGGGGGAAGAAUCGCGUUCAAUUCAAGUCAGGUCUGCACCAGAUAGAGCACGCUCCUUAAGUUGUUUUUACUAGGAAAGCUUGUAAAAACAAAAGCAGAACCAAAAACCCUCUGUACACCUGUAACACUGAUUACCUGGAGCCUUCACAAGUACCUGCUGAAUUGGGAUUAGUUGCGGAGGCCCCUCUGAGGCAGAGGAUUUUUUGCAGCUGGAGAAACUGAGGCCCAGAAACUGGGCGAAGCUGUGAAGGUUUGUUUGGUUUGUUUGCAGUGCCCUGCUUUGCCAGGGCCCAGGUCCCAGAGCCCUGCUUUAAUGCCUCAACCAAGUGCCUUUUUAGUCGUCGUGCUGGAUUAGCAGCCCCAGAGGCUCCUAAUCUGCUAUCCAUAUGGCGCACGCAGCACGGGGAUCUACCCGCUGAUCUCCCUUUGUAUUUCUAGGCUGAUUAGAUGGGACGGUCCCCUGAGAUCACAAACCAGCAUCAUCUCCCCUGCCCGUUCGUUCCACAUUUGCUAACACGCUGCCCUUGCGCUCCUCUCUCCCUCUGCACCGCGGGCUGCUGAGCGCUGCCCUCCACGCAGGGGUGGGAGCCCACUCCGUGCUCCCACCACCCUGCUAAAUUCACACGAGCCUUCCAUCAUUGCAGGAGGACAGUUCUGUGGGUGGGAGGAGCAGGGAUGACCCUGGAAAUGGGGCAGUUGUGGCACUCGCUGGGGGCUCUUGGCAGUGCUCUGGCAUUGCGGGCUUCCCAAAAGUGGUGGAGAGCAUCCCUG